CUCGUAGGUGGCCAACUAAGUCAGACGUGAAAUCCCUCAGCUUAACUGGGGAACUGCGUCUGAUACUGGAUGGCUUGAGUUUGGGAGAGGGAUGCGGAAUUCCAGGUGUAGCGGUGAAAUGCGUAGAUAUCUGGAGGAACACCGGUGGCGAAGGCGGCAUCCUGGACCAACACUGACACUGAUGAGCGAAAGCCAGGGGAGCAAACG
rnacentral:rRNA from 1 species